AACGAACGCUGGCGGCAGGCCUAACACAUGCAAGUCGAGCGAGGACUUCGGUCCUAGCGGCGGACGGGUGAGUAACGCGUGGGAACGUGCCCUUUGCUUCGGGAUAGCCCUGGGAAACUGGGAGUAAUACCGGAUGAGCCCUUUGGGGGCAAGAUUUAUCGUCGAAGGAUCGGCCCGCGUUGUAUUAGGUAGUUGGUGGGGUAAUGGCCUACCAAGCCGACGAUCCAUAGCUGGUUUGAGAGGAUGAUCAGCCACACUGGGACUGAGACACGGCCCAGAAUCCUACGGGAGGCAGCAGUGGGGAAUCUUAGAAAAUGGGGGAAACGCUGAUCGAGCCAUGCCGCGUGAGCGAUGAAGGCCUUAGGGUUGUAAAGCUCUUUCAGCUGGGAAGAUAAUGACGGUACCAGCAGAAGAAGCCCCGGCUAACUCCGUG
rnacentral:rRNA from 1 species